rnacentral:pre_miRNA from 1 species
AUCACCUGGGAAACUUCUUAAAAUGCAGAUUCUGACUCAGUAAGCCAGGGGGCCUGAGACUCUGCAUUUCUAACAAGCUCCAGGUGAGGCUGA